AAGCAGAGGCGUUGGCGGCGUGAGGCUCAGGACUGUACAUCAGAGGAAGCCAAAAGCCAGCUGGAAUACUUCCUGAAUACAGUUUUAAUCUUGUUUGCAAUUAUUUCGAAGGGGAGAAAUCAUCUGGAUCAGAAUUAAGAUGCUCUGGUUUCAAGGAAAUAGCAUGCAACUUGCCAGAUCCUCCUUUGGACUCUUCUUGAGAAAUUGCUCUGCCUCUAAGACAACUCUGCCUGUGUUGACCUUAUUCACAAAGGAGUUUCUCAGCACAAGGUCUCUCUUUGCCUGCUGCCAUCCAUGUAAGAUGUGACUUGCUCCUCCUUGCCUUCCGCCAUCAUUAUGAGGCCUCCCCAGCCAUGUGGAACUGACCCAUGCCCCCUUUGUGAUGAAGCCAAGGAAGUACUCAAGCCUUAUGAAAACAGGCAACCCUACAAGGAUCAGAAGCUGCCAGGAACAAGGAGAAGACGCUCCCCUUCCUCACCUUCCCACCCCCACAUGGCUUCUCAGUCGGGGAAAAGAUACAACUUAACUUUAAACCAAGUCUUAAGUUUUGAUUAUGACAUGGGAUUAGAUGCACCAAAAACAAUUUCAAGUGACUGUGGGGCAUUCUAUUGCCUGAGAAUGUUCAAGAGUCCUGAUAUGACCUGUUGUUUUUAUCCUAAACAGUGAAAAAUUCAUCCACCAAAUAUAUAGGAAUAGAGGGAGACAGAAAGAUGCUUUCUGAAGGUAUCCCAUAUUUAGAGUAUUGGUUACAUAUACCUAAUGUUGGUUUUAACCUAUAGCUCUUCAAUAAACUUACUCAUCAAUUCUUAUUUCAGAGAGGAAUAUGGUCAUGUGACUAGGAAUCCUGCAGAUCUUCAGCAAACCCAUGGGUCCCAACAGCUGGCAAAAUGAAAGGUAGAUACCUACAAACAUGGCAUCUAAAAGGUGGUUUGAUUAUCCCACUGUCAAGUAUCAGUGUUAUGUCACCUAUUACUGUGAUUUUCAUGUGAUGUUUGUAGCAGCAAUUACUUUUCCUUUCUGAAAUUAUGUUUGCAAAGAUCAAUUUGUUUUUAUAUAAAGAUUAACUUUGAUAUAAGAAGCUCAUCAUUCACCUCCAAAGGAAAAGGUGAUACAAGCUUCCUUUUUUUCCCCCUUCAAGCUAAUGCCUUAUGAAGGAGUGGAAUAGUUUGGGACUUCAUAUUGCUGCUCUAGAAUAGUGCCUCUUUCUUCCACAUGUCUCUUCAUAACAUUAUGAGCUUACUGGAACACAUAGCUCUUUGGCCAGUUUAUUGCACGAAACAAGGGUAUACUCAGACUGGGGUUUUUUAAAUAAUGCAGCAAUCUCAUGGACAUCUGACAGUAGGAAUCACAAUACAGCCAGGCUUCAGAAGUACAAUUAAAGAACCACCCAAAACUGAAACAUCACCCUUCUCACAGUGCCUUGGCUUAUUUUCUUCCUUGUUCUCUCCUGGCUCACAGCUCCCCUGCUUACACACACUAUCUGCUUCCUCAUAGCUGCAGCCUGCUUAUGCCCAUCAUUACUGCUAACCUUUCUGUUCAGCAAUACAGCACCCUGAGCCUCUCAGGCUUCUCUAUUCUGAAAUCCUAAAAGGAAUUUUACUCAGCUUAUAUUUUACAACCAGGCACCCAUGACCUAAGUUGGCUGACCAAAUCUAUAGAAGGAGCCACCUUUAGGACAGAAGCCUAUCCCUGGGCCAACUGGCUAUGGAAGCGGUAUGCAAAUCACAGUCACUGCCCACUGGCAGAGGCCAGAAGCAGGACAGGCAAUGACCAGCAACUCUGGCACGCCUCCAAAAAGCUUAAGAAUGUGACAUUCUACCAUACUCAAGAGAAGUCAGGAGGGACACAUUGGUAAGUUCACUUAUAUCCUACUCCAUAGGAGUAAUAAGGACAUGAACCAAAGCAAUGGGAGUCAGACAGAAAGAGAUAUCAGGAGAUAUUUAGGAGUGAGGUUGACAAAACUUCAUGACUGACUGGAUGGGUCGGUAGUGAUGUGGAGAGGGGAGUAGAGAGAAAGCAUGGAUUCUGGGAUAACUCCCAGUUUUCUUGCUUACACUACUGGGUGAAUUCUGAUACUUUUUAUUCCCUGAGGCAGAGAAUGUAAGAGGAAGGAAAAGUUAGUUUUGGGCUGUGCUUGGUGGAUGGGAAAGGUAAGACAUGGUGAAUUCUCCAUGCUUGUGGGAUAUCAAGGUAAAGAUAAAAGUUAGAAGUGCAAAACAAAGGUCUGGGGUUAAGGUAUACAUUUGAGAGCCCACUGAGUAUGGUUGGAAAUGUGGCCACCUGGCAUAUAAGGAGAAAAGCAAGCUAUUCCCAAACCAUGGAGAAUACUAAUCUUGACCCAUGAGAAUAGAGGAAGUUGCUAGUGAAGGAAAAUGAGAGAGUGGUGGUGGAACUAGGAAUGGGAGAAGCUCAUCCAAUUUACAUUACGUGAUGCCUUUUGUGAUUUGAUAGUGGCAGGUAUUAUUCCAAGCACUGGGGAUAAAACAACAAACAAGAUAGCCAGGAUUCCUACUCUCAGAGUCUUGCAUUUUAAGGGAGAGACAGACAAUAAAGAUAUCGUAUCAGAGGAAAAUAAUCAUGAAAGUCAGGGAGGAGCUUUUCCCAGAGUAACUGACAGUAUCAAAUAGCAAGAGAGUUAGGAUGAGGACUGAACAGAAGACAUCAGAUUUGAAAAUUAGAAAAUCAGUGCUGCUAUAGGAAGAAUAGUCCCCAAAGAUACCCAGGUCCUAAUUCCUGGAACCUGUCACUUAUAUGCAUAAAGGACUUUGCAGAUUUAAGUUAAGGAUCUUGAGAUGGGAAAAUUAUAUUGCAUUAUCUAAGCAGGUCCUAAUGUAAUCACAGGUGUCUCUAUAAGAGGGAGUCAGAAGGAGAUUUGACUAGGGUAAAGAGAGUAGGAAAUUCGACAAUGGAAGCAAAAGGUUGGAGUGAUACAAGAAAGCAGCCAUGAGCCAAGGAAUGUGAAUGGCCUCCAGAAGCU
rnacentral:lncRNA from 1 species